GCCUUUGGACAUAUCACCCUGAAUGCACCUGAUCUCAUGUGAUCUUGGAAGUGAAACAGAGUCGGGCCUGGUUAGUCUUUGGAUGGGGAAAAUCUAGACACACCACUGGGAAACAUUCACAUGGCAACCUGAUUCA
ensembl:rRNA 5S_rRNA 5S ribosomal RNA